GAUGAACGCUGGCGGCGUGCCUAAUACAUGCAAGUCGAGCGAACGGACGAGGAGCUUGCUUCUCUGACGUUAGCGGCGGACGGGUGAGUAACACGUGGAUAACCUACCUAUAAGACUGGGAUAACUUCGGGAAACCGUAGCUAAUACCGGAUAAUAUUUUGAACCGCAUGGUUCAAAAGUGAAAGACGGUUUUGCUGUCACUUAUAGAUGGAUCCGCGCUGCAUUAGCUAGUUGGUAAGGUAACGGCUUACCAAGGCAACGAUGCAUAGCCGACCUGAGAGGGUGAUCGGCCACACUGGAACUGAGACACGGUCCAGACUCCUACGGGAGGCAGCAGUAGGGAAUCUUCCGCAAUGGGCGAAAGCCUGACGGAGCAACGCCGCGUGAGUGAUGAAGGUCUUCGGAUCGUAAAACUCUGUUAUUAGGGAAGAACAAAUGUGUAAGUAACUAUGCACGUCUUGACGGUACCUAAUCAGAAAGCCACGGCUAACUACGUG
rnacentral:rRNA from 1 species